rnacentral:rRNA from 1 species
AGCAGUCGCCGCGGGAAUACGUAGGUGGCAAGCGUUGUCCGGAAUUAUUGGGCGUAAAGGGCUCGCAGGCGGUUUCUUAAGUCUGAUGUGAAAGCCCCCGGCUCAACCGGGGAGGGUCAUUGGAAACUGGGAAACUUGAGUGCAGAAGAGGAGAGUGGAAUUCCACGUGUAGCGGUGAAAUGCGUAGAGAUGUGGUGGAACACCAGUGGCGAAGGCGACUCUCUGGUCUGUAACUGACGCUGAGGAGCGAAAGCGUGGGGAGCGAACAGGAUUAGAUACCCCAGUAGUCCCUGUCUCUUAUAC